rnacentral:tRNA from 1 species
AAUUUUAUAGUUUAAUUUUAAAAUAAUAAAUUGCAAAUUUAUAGAUAUUUAAUAAAUUAAAAUUU